CUUUUAUGAUGACAACGACACACGUCUUACGCUUUGUGUCAACGCCAGAGCCUGAAAAGGCGAACCCACUGGUGUUGCCUUGGCAAUAAGGGGAAGACCCGUUGGGGUUACCAACAGUCUGAAAGGA
rnacentral:snoRNA from 1 species